rnacentral:rRNA from 1 species
UGGGGUUGGGAUUAAGACAUGCAAGUCGUGGGAAGGUGGUUGGACCUUUCCGGCGAACGGCUCAGUAACACGUGGUCAACCUGCCCCGUGGAGGCGGAUAACCACGGGAAACUGUGGAUAAACCGCCGUAGGGAAUGGCUUCUGGAAUGAGCUUUUCCCGAUAGAGGACAAGCCCUUGCCGCUUGUUCCUGCCACGGGAUGGGGCCGCGGCCGAUUAGCUCGUAGGUGGUGUAACGGACCACCUAGGCUAUGAUCGGUACGGGUUGUGAGAGCAAUACCCCGGAGAAGGGGACUGAGACAAGGCCCCUAGCGCUACGGCGUGCAGCAGUUACGAAACCUCCCCCAUGCGCGAAAAGCGUGAGGGGGUCCGCCCCAGUGGCAUCCUAACGGGUGCCUGUUGGCGAGCCUACAAAGCUCGUCGAGGAAGGAGAGGGCAAGACCGGUGCCAGCCGCCGCGGUAAAACCGGCUCUCCGACUGGGUCGGGACGUUUGUUGGGCCUAAAGCGUCCGUAAGCCGGGCUAGUAAGUCCCCGGUUAAAUCUAACGGCUUAACCGUUAGACUGCUGGGGAUACUACUAGCCUAGGGACUGGGAGAGGUGGGGGGUAUUCCCUGGGGAGCGGUAAAAUGCUAAGAUCCAGGGAGGACCCCCGGUGGCGAAGGCGCCCCCACUGGAACAGGUCCGACGGUGAGGGACGAAAGCCAGGGGAGCGAACCGGAUUAGAUACCCGGGUAGUCCUGGCCGUAAACGAUGGCGGCUAGGUGUUGCACGUGUCAUGAACUCGUGCAGUGCCGAAGGGAAGCCGUUAAGCCGCCCGCCGGGGGAGUACGGUCGCAAGGCUGAAACUUAAAGGAAUUGGCGGGGAGGCACCACCAGGCGUGGAGCGUGUGGUUCAAUUGGAUUCAACGCCGGGAAACUUACCAGGGGAGACAGCUGGAUGAGGGACAGGCUGAUGGCCUUUCCUGACUAGCUGAGAGGUGCUGCAUGGCCGUCGCCAGCUCGUGCCGUGAGGUGUCCGGUUAAGUCCGGCAACGAGCGAGACCCGUGCCCCCAGUUGCCAAGGAGCCCUUCGGGGCUGCCGGGUACUCUGGGGGGACCGCCAGCGUUUAAGCUGGAGGAAGGAGCGGGCCACGGCAGGUCAGUAUAGCCCGAAUCCCUUGGGCCACACACGCGCUACAAUGGCCGGGACAGUGGGAUGCAACUCCGAAAGGAGAAGCCAAUCCCUAAACCCGGUCGCAGUUGGGAUCGAGGGUUGCAACCCACCCUUCGUGAACGUGGAAUGCCUAGUACGGGCGUGUCAACAUAGCGCCCGGAAUACGUCCCCGCCUCUUGCACACACCGCCCGUCGUUCCA